rnacentral:rRNA from 1 species
UACGUAGGGUGCAAGCGUUAAUCGGAAUUACUGGGCGUAAAGCGUGCGCAGGCGGUGAUGUAAGACAGAUGUGAAAUCCCCGGGCUCAACUUGGGAACUGCAUUUGUGACUGCAUCGCUGGAGUGCGGCAGAGGGGGAUGGAAUUCCGCGUGUAGCAGUGAAAUGCGUAGAUAUGCGGAGGAACACCGAUGGCGAAGGCAGCCCCCUGGGUCGACACUGACGCUCAGGCACGAAAGCGUGGGGAGCAAACAGG